AUUGAACGCUGGCGGCAUGCCUUACACAUGCAAGUCGAACGGUAACGGGCCUUCGGGUGCCGACGAGUGGCGAACGGGUGAGUAAUACAUCGGAACGUACCCGAUCGUGGGGGAUAACGGGGCGAAAGCUUUGCUAAUACCCCAUACGAUCUCCGGCGGAAAGCAGGGGACCGCAAGGCCUUGCGCGGACGGAGCGGCCGAUGGCAGAUUAGGUAGUUGGUGGGAUAAAAGCUUACCAAGCCGACGAUCUGUAGCUGGUCUGAGAGGAUGAUCAGCCACACUGGGACUGAGACACGGCCCAGACUCCUACGGGAGGCAGCAGUGGGGAAUUUUGGACAAUGGGCGCAAGCCUGAUCCAGCCAUGCCGCGUGCAGGAUGAAGGCCUUCGGGUUGUAAACUGCUUUUGUACGGAACGAAAAGCCUUCUUUUAAUACAGGAGGGUCAUGACGGUACCGUAAGAAUAAGCACCGGCUAACUACGUG
rnacentral:rRNA from 1 species